UACGGAGGGUGCAAACGUUGCUCGGAAUUAUUGGGCGUAAAGCGCACGUAGGCGGCUUUGUAAGUUAGAGGUGAAAGCCUGGAGCUCAACUCCAGAAUUGCCUUUAAGACUGCAUCGCUUGAAUCCAGGAGAGGUGAGUGGAAUUCCGAGUGUAGAGGUGAAAUUCGUAGAUAUUCGGAAGAACACCAGUGGCGAAGGCGACUUACUGGACACAUAUUGACGCUGAGGUGCGAAAGCGUGGGGAGCAAACAGG
rnacentral:rRNA from 1 species